rnacentral:tRNA from 9 species
GUGGGUGUAGCUCAGCUGGUAGAGCACCGGGUUGUGGUCCCGGUGGUCGCGGGUUCAAGUCCCGUCACCCACCCCA